GCGACCCCAGGUCAGGCGGGACUACCCGCUGAGUUUAUGCAUAUCAAUAAGCGGAGGAAAUG
rnacentral:rRNA from 1 species